rnacentral:hammerhead_ribozyme from 1 species
ACACAAUUGACGAGUCCCGAAUAGGAAGAAACGCGCGUUCUGUAU